ACGAACGCUGGCGGCAGGCCUAACACAUGCAAGUCGAGCGAGAACGGUACUUCGGUACUUAUUAGAGCGGCGCACGGGUGAGUAACGCGUGGGAACAUACCCUGUAGUACGGAAUAGCCUCGGGAAACUGGGAUUAAUACCGUAUACGCCCUUAGGGGGAAAGAUUUAUCGCUAUAGGAUUGGCCCGCGUGACAUUAGCUUGUUGGUAAGGUAACGGCUUACCAAGGCUACGAUGUCUAGCUGGUCUGAGAGGAUGAUCAGCCACACUGGAACUGAGACACGGUCCAGACUCCUACGGGAGGCAGCAGUGAGGAAUAUUGCACAAUGGGGGAAACCCUGAUGCAGCCAUGCCGCGUGUGUGAUGAAGGCCUUAGGGUUGUAAAGCACUUUCAUGGUGAAGAUAAUGACGGUAACCAAGAAGAAGCCCCGG
rnacentral:rRNA from 1 species